rnacentral:snRNA from 1 species
GUGCUCACUUUCGGCAGCACAUACACUAAAAUUGGAACGAUACGGAGAAGAUUAGCAGGCCCCGCUGAGCAAGGAUGACACACAAAUUUGUGAAGCGUUCCAUAUUUAA